GCUGCUGUAGCUCAGUGGUAGAGCGUGGGAUUGCAGUCAUCUGCAAUUAUCCUAAGGUCCGUUGUUCGACCCAGCGUAGCAGCU
rnacentral:tRNA from 1 species